CUCUCUCUCUCUCUCAUAAUGCACUGCCAAGGCUAAAGACCCAGCUUAUUUCACACUCCAACUAUUAUCCACGCACGUAUAGUUCUUCGAGACACGACGGAGACGCAACAGACUUUCCAGUCAGCAGACACUUCAACCAGAUUUUCCUCGAGCUGGACUUCACCCGCUGUCUACACCGACCAACCAGUGCUCUUUUAUGAAAUUUCACAGAUCAAGUUACGAUGUCCACUCAAUGUCGACCAAAAGUAACAACCUGUGCACCCAAAGGCAACAUUUCAUCAUUUUACAUGAUGGCCAAAGGCAAAGUACAAUCCAGAUUGGCAAAGAAAACAUAAA